rnacentral:lncRNA from 1 species
AAAACUUUUCUUCAUUAAUCUUUUUAAAUAACGUCAUAAUUUAAUUUUUUGAACAAUUUGACCUAAAAAAAAUUGAAAUUUCAUAAAUUUAAUUUUAUUCCAAAAGUAUGAGAAUGAAGAAGAUGAUGUGCUUGAAAUGAUAUCAAAAGUAUGAGAAUGGAAGAGACUGAUGAAAUUGACAAAGGAAAAAUAAAUUGAGAAAUAGGAAAAAAUAUUUUUGGUAGAUUAAUUGAGAAAUGGGUGAGUAUUCAUAGAGUUUGGAGUGAGAUUUGAGAUUGGAUCUUAUUUGGAUUAAUUUAAAAGAUUAUUUUGACCGUUAAAUUUAAAUUUCAGCCGUUGAAUUUUUUAUUUUUACCAUUAAAAUAGCAGAGAUUUAAUCCCCAUUGUUG